CAAUAGCGUAUAUUAAAGUUGUUGCAGUUAAAAAGCUCGUAGUUGAACUUCAGACCUGGCCGGGCGGUCUGCCUAACGGUAUGUACUGUCUGGCUGGGUCUUACCUCUUGGUGAGCCGGCAUGCCCUUCACUGGGUGUGUCGGGGAACCAGGACUUUUACCUUGAGAAAAUUAGAGUGUUCAAAGCAGGCCUAUGCCUGAAUACAUUAGCAUGGAAUAAUAAAAUAGGACGUGCGGUUCUAUUUUGUUGGUUUCUAGAGUCGCCGUAAUGAUUAAUAGGGAUAGUUGGGGGCAUUAGUAUUCAGUUGCUAGAGGUGAAAUUCUUGGAUUUACUGAAGACUAACUACUGCGAAAGCAUUUGCCAAGGAUGUUUUCAUUAA
rnacentral:rRNA from 1 species